AAGAUAUAAAUCUAAAGAGGCGUAUAUAGUACAGCCUUUAUUAUGAGUCAUUUCUUCAGACCAAGUUCAAGAUAUAUUUAAUUGAAUUGAGGCAUAUAUAACACAGCCGUUAUGAUGAGUCAUUUCUACAGACAAAGUUGAAGAUAUAAAUCUAAAUAGGCAUACAUAGUACAGCCUUUAUUAUGAGUCAUUUCUUUAGACCCAUGUUCAAGAUAAAAAUCUUUAGAGGCGUACAUACUAUAGCCUUUAUUAUGAGUCAUUUCUACAAACCAAGUUUAAGAUAUAAAACUAAAGAGGCAUAAAUAGUACAACCUUUAUGAUGAGUCUUUUCUUUAGACCCAUGUUCAAGAUAUAUCUUGAACAUGGGUCUUGAGGCGUACAUAGUACAGCCUUUAUUAUGAAUCAUUCCCGCAGACUCAUGUUUAAGAUAUAAAUCUAUAGAGGCGUACAUAGUACAGCCUUUAUUAUGAUUCAUUUGUUAUGACCCAUGUUCAAGAUAUAAAUCUAUAGAGGCGUACAUAGUACAGCCUUUAUUAUGAUUCAUUUCUUUAGACCCGUGUUCAAGAUAUAAAUCUAUAGAGGCGUACAUAACACAGCCUUUGUGAUGAGUGAUUUCUACAGACCCAUGUUCAAGGUAUAAAUCUAUAAGAGGUGUACAUAAUACAGCCUUUAUUAUGAGUCAUUUCCACUGACCCAUGUUCAAGAUAUAAAUCUAUAGAGGCGUACAUAGUACAGCCUUUAUUUUGAGUCAUUUCUACAGACAAAGUUCAAGAUAUAAAUCUAAAGAGGUGUACGUACAUAGUACAGCCUUUAUUAUGAGUCAUUUCUUCAAACCAAGUACAAGAUAUAUUUAAUUGUAUUGAGGCGUACAUAACACAGCCUUUAUGAUGAGUCAUAUCUACAGACAAAGUUCAAGAUAUAAUUCUAAAGAGGCGUACAUAGUACAGCCUUUAUGAUGAGUCAUUUCUACAGACAAAGUUCAAGAUAUAAAUCUAUAGAGGUGUACAUAGUACAGCCUUUAUAAUGAGUCAUUUCUUCAGACCCAUGUUCAAGAUAAAAAUCUAAAGAGGCUUACAUAGUACAGCCUUUAUUUUGAGUCAUUUCUCCAGACCAAGUUCAUGAUAUAUUUUAUUCUAUAGAGGCGUACACAGGUUUAUGAUGAGGUUUUUCUUUAGGCCCAUGUUCCAGAAAUAUUUAAAUCUGUAGAGGUGUACAUAGUACAGCCUUUUUGAGAAGUCAGUUCUUCAGACACAUUUUCAAGAUAUAUUUAAAUCCAUAGAGGCCUACAUUGUUCAACCUUCAUGAUGAGUUAUUUCUAUUCAAGAAAUAUUUAGAUCUAGAGAGUCAUACUUAGUACAGCCUUUAUCAUGAGCCAGUUUUUCAGGCCCAAGUUCAAGAUUUAAAUCUAUAGAGGGGUACACUGUAUUUACUGACUUCAUGAAGAGCCAUUUCUUCAGACCAAGUUCAAGAUAAAAACCAAUGAAGACGAACAUAAUAUAGCCUUUGAUAAGAUUUUUUUCAUAUAUUUUUUUUAUAGAGGCGUACAUAGUGUAGAUCACCAAAUUCCCAUUAAGGAAACUAGGUGAUGGCAGGGAUGUUAUUAAUACUUCUCCCACCAAGUCUACCUCUGUUGUUCCUGAAGAACAGGAUGAGUUCCGCCAAGUUCCUUGUGGAUACUGGAGCUUCUGUGUCAGUUUUCCCUCACCUGCCCCGUUCUCCAUCAGCUCCAGGUUCAGGGAUCCAAUUGAGAACUGCUGACAGUUCCCCUAUGAAUACCUAUGGUUCCUGCCGUUUCUAAGCCAAUCCUGGGAUCAGAUUUCUUACGUCACAAUCAUCUUCUGGUUAUGUUGACUUUUCAACCCUGGAAUAUAUACCUGUUGUUUCAUCUAACUCGUCCAAUAGCAGCUCAGAUCUCUACCCAGCUCUUCUCUCUACCCCUGAGGAGUUCUUUGAUCUCCUGUCCCAGUGCCCAGAUGUAGUAUCCUCCAAGGGUUUCUUUAUCUUAGAGAUCCAAAGCAUCCAGUUUGCCAUACUGUUCCUACCUUGCCUGGCCCACUGGUGUUUGCCAGAGCCUGCUGGCUUGAUGCAGAAAGGCUGGAAUCUGCAAGGAAGGAGUUUGCA